ensembl:lncRNA
CUAUUUUGCUGUCAGGAGUGAGCAGACGGAGCUCUUCUAUCAGUGUUUGUCAGUUUGAGCAGCUGAAGGGCUUGAUUAAUCCACCGAAUCUCCGCUGGACGUUCAGUUCAUGUGAUAUUUGAUCAAGGUUAGUUCAUGUCUGUGUGACUUCUGUGGAGAACUAAAAGAGUCCUAAUGCAGCUCUGGACAGAAACCAUCACAGUGACCACGACUGACCGAGACAUCAUGACAGUCGUCCGCAUCAAUCACGUGUGUUAUAUUCCAAACCUUCUGAACUCAUGCCGUUCUGUGAGUGAGGAGCAGAAACUGCUUCACGAUGAACCUUUAUGUCUAAAUGGUUCCCUAAAGAACCUUUAACCUCUGAAGAACCUUC